CCUAGAGCGGUGGAUCCGAUCUCCUUCCCCAACAAUCAGUCGUUACCCACCCUACACCCAACGACUCCCCCACCUCCCCUCAAAAAACAAAACAAAAAAAACGGCCACCCCAUCUCCCUGAACCUAGCAACCGAAGGCCCAAACGAAAUCCACAGCAACAUGCGAAAAAAGAAAGAAAAACGAAAGUGAGAGACAAAAAGAGCCAAUAACCACGAGUUUCGAUCUCACCUCUGUUCUUUUUGUUAUUUAUUUGUUGAUAUGUGAAAUUCAGGUCUGGCCGAAAAUUUAUUUACGACCUGAUUGGAAAAACUAAUCUGGCGACCACCAACAGGCGUCCCUCCCUACUGCCACCUUCAAAACCAGUCAUAGACUACCGAAAAACCACCCCGAACCUAUGUGAAAAUCAGCCGGUCGAGUUGGGUCUAUUCGAGGUUGCGAUUUCGAGUGGAGUUUUCGGGUCCAUAACUCGUAGAGGAUCACUAUUUUGUGGAUUUUCCUGUCCUUUGUAAUCGUUAAAUUUUAAGCAAUAGAGGUUCAUUUCUAUCCCAUUUUACUUCAUUUGAACUUUCAGAUUUCAACUUUUAUUGCUCUAUAAUUUUUAUAAUAUAUUUAGUAUUGGUUUGUUAUUGGAUGCCAUGUUUUUUCCCUCCAUGUCUUUGCUUUAUUUUUAUUUUUAUUUUUUUUUUGUCUUUUGCUAUUUGUUGAUCGAUCAUGUUAGGAUUCAUAUUCUUGAAUAUUCUAAAGUUGUGUUUCAUGUGCUUAUUAGAGUUGAUUAUUCCUAGUUCUUAUGUACUUUAUGUUGGGUUAAAAUAAUUGAAUGAUGAUGUGAAUAUUUAUUUUAAUAUGUAAUUGGC
rnacentral:lncRNA from 1 species